rnacentral:rRNA from 1 species
AUUGAACGCUGGCGGCAGGCCUAACACAUGCAAGUCGAGCGGAUGCACGGGGCUUGUUCCUCGCUGAAGCGGGGGACGGGUGCGUGAGGGCUAUGUAUGUGCCUGGGCGUGAGGGAUGGGGUUAGGUACCGGAAGCGGAUACCGCAACCGUAUAGAGGGGGAAAAUCAGGGAUCUUCAGACCCAGGGCUCUUAGCUGAGCCUAGGUCGGAUUAGCUAGUUGGUGGGGUAAGGGCCUACCAAGGCGACGAUCCGUAGCUGGUCUGAGAGGAUGAUCAGUCACACUGGAACUGAGACACGGUCCAGACUCCUACGGGAGGCAGCAGUGGGGAAUAUUGCACAAUGGGCGAAAGCCUGAUGCAGCCAUGCCGCGUGUGUGAAGAAGGUCUUCGGAUUGUAAAGCACUUUAAGUGGGGAGGAAGGGCAGUAAGUUAAUACCUUCAUGUCUUGACGUUACCAACAGAAGAAGCACCGGCUAACUUCGUG